UCAGACCAGUGCAAACCAGAA
rnacentral:misc_RNA from 1 species